CAUGAGCUACGUCAGUGCUCAGAAGGCGUACAUCGAAUCCCUUGAUGGUUGGUUGUCCAAGUUCAUGCUCACAGACACCAUCCGUUAAUCCCGGGGAUCUCCUUGAUCGCGCUCGACAGGACCAGCGAGUAGCACACUAUGCUGUCGACAACCGGAUCCUCCUCACAACUGACUCCGGCAUGGUACCCAUUCCAACCCAAGAAGACGACUCAAGGGAGGACUGAUCUAUAUGUAGGCAGAUGGAUGAAUUCCAAGCCAUGAGAUAAAAUUUGCUUCAGAUCACGGAAGCUUGGGUUGAUGGAGUGCUUGU